UCCACCACCACCGUCUCCUCCUCCUCCUCCUCGCCUCCACCCCUUCCCUUCCAUCCCCUCCCACCCGGCCACCUCCCGAUCGAUCCACCUGGGGUCAGGAGUUUCCAGCCCGGAGCGGCUCCGUUCGAUUCGAUCACGCUGCUAGGUUUGUUUGGUCUGCCGCGAUGGCGACGGAGGCCUUCGCCGACAAGAACGCCGUCUUCCGCAAGCUCCGCGCCAAAUCGGAUAACAAGAUGUGCUUCGAUUGCAACGCCAAGAACCCGACGUGGGCGUCCGUCACCUACGGCGUAUUCCUCUGCAUCGACUGCUCCGCAGUGCACCGCAGCCUCGGCGUCCACGUCUCCUUCGUCAGGUCAACAAAUUUGGAUUCAUGGACUCAAGAGCAGUUGAAAAUGAUGGUUUAUGGAGGAAACAAUCGUGCACAAGCAUUCUUUAAGCAGCAUGGUUGGACGGAUGGUGGAAAAAUUGAAGCAAAGUAUACUUCAAGAGCUGCUGACUUGUACCGGCAGUUGCUUGCCAAAGAGGUUGCUAAAAGCUCCAUAGAAGAUGGCAACAAUAGUUGGCCAUCCUCCCCAGUUGCAGCUUCGCAGGCUUCAAAUCAAGCUGUUGCGUUUCCAGAUCUCAAGCUGACAGAGGCAUUAAAAGAAAAUGUAAAUGAGAAGAAUGAGUCUGAGAUUGUUCGUUCACCUAGAGCCCCAACACAUUCUUUCAAGAAGCCGAUUGGUGGUGCAAAGAAGCCUGGGAAUAAGACUGGUGGACUUGGUGCACGGAAGCUUACAUCAAAGCCAAGUGAAAGCCUCUAUGAACAGAAGCCCGAAGAACCAGCUCCUGUCCUGCUACCGGUGACUGAGAGUACUACAGCUAGGAGCAAAUCUCAUACUUCCCGAUUUGAAUAUGUAGAAAAUGCACCUUCAGCUGGGAUCAGUUCGGAAGAUAACCAGAUGAUAGGACAUGUUGCACCCCCAAAGUCUUCAAACUUCUUUGCUGAAUUUGGGAUGGACAAUGUAUAUCACAAAAAAUCUACGUCCAGUUCAUCCAAAGUGCAGGUUGAGGAAAGUAGUGAAGCAAGACAGAAGUUCUCAAAUGCGAAGUCUAUUUCAUCUUCUCAGUUUUUCAGUGAUCAGGCCAGUUUCGAAAAGGAGGCUCAAGUCUCCCUCCAAAAGUUUUCUGGCUCCUCUGCCAUAUCAAGUGCUGACCUAUUUGGCCAUCAGACGAAUAAUUCUAAUGUUGAUCUCGGUGCUUCAGAUUUGAUUAACCGAAUUUCAUUCCAGGCAACUCAGGAUCUGUCUUCUCUCAAGAACAUGGCUGGGGAAACUGGGAAGAAGUUGACUUCUUUGGCGUCCAACAUCAUCACUGAUCUUCAGGAUCGGAUCCUCUGAGUUUAGUUAAUAGUGAAGUCUCCUUUACGUUUCUUCAGUGGCUGGCUUCUCCCAUCAAGUGGGUGACAAACUGGCCUGCCCGGCAGAUCUGUCUAGGAGCUCGUAGCAUCUAAAAACUUGAAGUGAGACUUAGAGAAAAAGGAGAAAAAAGAAAACUUAUCGUGAAUGCUGCACUGGCUUGGCAUCUGGAGCUGUAACAGAAAUGUUUUUGCCCGUGAUUUUAUUUCUGUUUCAGAGAGGGAACUCAGAUGGUAUAUGCCUGCAUGGGUCUCAAGUAAAAGCGGGGAUGCGUUAUAUUUUCUGAAAUCGCGACAAACUACAUCUUGAUAGAACUCCGCUGGUAGUCACUGAGUCACGACCUUUUUGGUUCAUCUAUCUGUCUUAUAUCGAAUGACUAUACUGCUCCGUUACACGGUUCUGCAGCAAAGGAGAGGAGAGGGAGCUGCAGCGGCGAUUGCCGUCGUCACCUUCGCCUCUUCUUCCAUUUUCCUGCAACAGCCCAUGCUCUCCUCUUCCGCUGACCACCACCAUCCUGGAAAUGAAGAGAUCGAGAGAGAACUACGGAAGGCUAUGGAGUUGAUGAAGAUCGCUCCUGAUGAAAAUGAGCAGUGAAGCAUGUCCUUGGUAUGGACCUGCAGCAUGCGCUGGCUACAGUGGAAUACUGAUAACACUCACUUCCUAAUGAUUAUGCUUCAUUAGGCACCAAAAAAGUAUCAGUUAGGAAGUAGCACUACACCCGUUCUGUCGGGUAUCUGAUGAAAUGUUAGAACUGUGGAAAUCUGUAGGUUGAAAUGCAUUUUCUUCACCUUUGAUUCUGGGGCAGAACGUGAUAGAUAUAUGCUGCGUUAGGACAUGGAAAUCUCCUCGGUUCUUUUUGGAUGGAUUUGUACUAACUGAGAUGGCCGUGUUUUCACGCUGGAGUAAUAUUAUUAGCUGUUGGUGGUAUCAGCUUCUGAGUUGAUCUUGGACCCAAUCAACUGAAGCAAAAGCUGAAAGACGGAGCGUGUGAUGUAGCAGCAGCAGGAUGCAGGAGCAGCUGGUGGUGGUAUCUCUUUUUGGUAGUGUAAGCUUCCGUGCUGAGUUGAUCUUGGAAUCCAAAUCUUAACUGCAUCCUAUCCGAUUCCGAAAGGAGGAGGCAAUUAUUGGUGGGCCAUUAUAAAGGCAAAUGGUUUAGCUUGCAUCUUCCACGAAAAUCCAUGGCUGUUUCGCCCAGAAUGAUGAGGUUAGAGAAGCUAGCUGCGGUAGGCUCCACUCACUGCUGCAUUCUUCUUCUGCGAAAUAGAAACUCUCAUGUCUCAUUCUGCUUCUGCUGUUGCUGCACGGGCUAAUAAAGUUUGUCUGUGCCUCGCCAUUUCUGCACCCCAGAAGAUAGUUAGUCCAUGACAAAUUGCCAUUGAUCCCAAGUGCAUAAAAAGCAAUCUGCACCUUCUCUAACCACAUGCACUUCCCGAGUUGCUGCAUAGGCUAAUACGUAUGUCUGUGCCUCUCCAUUUGUACCAUGCCUGACUGGUUCGCUGAUUAUAGUUGAGCAGCUGACAUCUUUUUUCAUUCAUUUGUUAUUUUUCAGGAAGGCUAUGGGAUUAAUGAAAAUAUCUCCUGAUGCAGGUCAGCAGUCUGACUUGAGCGUGUGCUCGUUGCAGAAGAGUAGCGAUCAGCUGAAUAACUCUUGAUGAUUAUGCUUAGUUGAUUUGGGACCAAACAUUCUAGCCUAUUUACCAAGUAGUAGCAUUCUGUCGUCAGGUGUCUGAUGAAUUGUGUGAGGGCGAGGGAGAUUUUCUUUCUUUCUUUCUUUCUUUUUGCUCGCAGCAAGUCAAUUGACGUGGAAAUCUGGAAAAAAAGGAAGCGCGUUUCUUCAGCUUGGAGUCUAGGACAGGACAAAACCUGCGCUAAGACAUGGAAAUUUGUAUGAACUUAUUGGCAGGUCAUUGGAAAUUUCUGUGAACUUACAACUGCCAAAGCGUGCUUGGUGCCUGGCCGGUGCCAAAGAGUA